AAUAGAUACCCGGGUAGUCCACGCCGUAAGCGAUGGAUACUAGCUGUUUGAGCGCAAGUUUGAGUGGCUAAGCGAAAGUGAUAAGUAUCCCACCUGGGGAGUACGGGCGCAAGCCUGAAACUCAAAGGAAUUGACGGGGGCCCGCACAAGCGGUGGAGCAUGUGGUUUAAUUCGAUGAUACGCGAGGAACCUUACCAGGGCUUAAAUGUAGAUUGACGUAUUUGGAAACAGAUAUUUCUUCGGACAAUUUACAAGGUGCUGCAUGGUUGUCGUCAGCUCGUGCCGUGAGGUGUCAGGUUAAGUCCUAUAACGAGCGCAACCCCUGUUGUUAGUUGCCAGCGAGUAAUGUCGGGAACUCUAGCAAGACUGCCAGUGUAAACUGUGAGGAAGGUGGGGAUGACGUCAAAUCAUCACGGCCCUUACGUCCUGGGCCACACACGUGCUACAAUGGCCGGUACAGAGAGCAGCCACUUAGCGAUAAGGAGCGAAUCUAUAAAGCCGGUCACAGUUCGGA
rnacentral:rRNA from 1 species